UUUCGAACAGGGUUGAGGAAGAAGAGAGGAUAUCACUUUCCCCCCUAUCAAGUUUAUCUUCAUUUAUGGGUUGCAGGUCCCUGUGUCCCUCCCCCUCCUCGAUCCCCCUGUGUGCGAGUCCCUCAUCUCAGCUUUGGUUGCUGUGCAGAUGGCUCUUUGUUGGUGCUUCACAAUGGGUCUAAGGACUUGCCUGUAAACCAGAGAAAGCCAGCCAGACCAUGCUGGACACUGCUGUUCAAAACAAAAGAGCUCAGUUUGCCCCCACCAAUUCCUCCAAUUAUCGGGACCCUUCCCCCGCCUAAUCCUGACCUCUGCUCUGUGGGCCCCACUUUGCUACCCCUGAGUACUGACAUUCCACAAAUCAGGUCAGUCCUUUGUCCUGAGGAAAUUAAGGUGAAAUUAAGGUGCUUUACUUCCUAUCCUAUAUCCUCUGACCCGUUAGCAGGGCGGAGAACAGUUUAACAUUUAAUGUUUCCCCAGGCAAUGAACUAAUGCAAAAGAUUUGAUUAACUUUCAAAAGUGUGUCAUUGUUAAUACAAAAAGGCUUUUCUUUCAUACAGUAUUGCUUUCCGUGUUCCCAUAACUUUGAAUAGCAUAAAAAAAAGGUUUUCCAGUUCCUACUUGUGGAAAGUGUGGCAAACACAUUACAGUUGUUGGCAAUUAAGAGGUUUGCAAAAAUCACCACAUAAAGUGCGUCUCUUUUCCAACUUGCUCUUUUGCUGCAACAGUUUGGUUCACUUCUUUACCUGCAGACUAAAACAGGCUGCCCAUAGAUGGAUUUUUUUCCUUUGUAACAGAUUGGUGGCACAUGGAAACAUGUUGAGGUAGGCAAAUAGGAAAAAAAAAAAAGACAGGAAAUGAUCUCACAAACACUCCCCCUCUCUCUGAUUGCUCCAAUUUUCCAGUUACAGAAAAAGAGUGAGUAAUGCCUUCUGCUGCUUUUUAGUCUGCUCCUCUG